GGGUUGUGAGGUUAAGCGACUAAGCGUACACGGUGGAUGCCCUGGCAGUCAGAGGCGAUGAAGGACGUGCUAAUCUGCGAUAAGCGUCGGUAAGGUGAUAUGAACCGUUAUAACCGGCGAUUUCCGAAUGGGGAAACCCAGUGUGUUUCGACACACUAUCAUUAACUGAAUCCAUAGGUUAAUGAGGCGAACCGGGGGAACUGAAACAUCUAAGUACCCCGAGGAAAAGAAAUCAACCGAGAUUCCCCCAGUAGCGGCGAGCGAACGGGGAGCAGCCCAGAGCCUGAAUCAGUGUGUGUGUUAGUGGAAGCGUCUGGAAAGGCGCGCGAUACAGGGUGACAGCCCCGUACACAAAAAUGCACAUGCUGUGAGCUCGAUGAGUAGGGCGGGACACGUGGUAUCCUGUCUGAAUAUGGGGGGACCAUCCUCCAAGGCUAAAUACUCCUGACUGACCGAUAGUGAACCAGUACCGUGA
rnacentral:rRNA from 2 species